rnacentral:rRNA from 1 species
UACGAAGGGGGCUAGCGUUCUCGGAAUCACUGGGCGUAAAGGGUGCGUAGGCGGGUCUUUAAGUCAGGGGUGAAAUCCUGGAGCUCAACUCCAGAACUGCCUUUGAUACUGAGGAUCUUGAGUUCGGGAGAGGUGAGUGGAACUGCGAGUGUAGAGGUGAAAUUCGUAGAUAUUCGCAAGAACACCAGUGGCGAAGGCGGCUCACUGGCCCGAUACUGACGCUGAGGCACGAAAGCGUGGGGAGCAAACAGG